CUGAAUAACUUUGCUGAUCACACGGUCCUCGUACCGGUGACAUAUCUUUCAAGUGUCUGCCCUAUCAACUUUCGAUGGUAGUUUAUGCGCCUACCAUGGUUGUAACGGGUAACGGAGAAUAAGGGUUCGACUCCGGAGAGGGAGCCUGAGAAAUGGCUACCACAUCCAAGGAAGGCAGCAGGCGCGCAAAUUACCCACUCUCAGCUCGAGGAGGUAGUGACGAAAAAUAACGAGACGGUUCUCUAUGAGGCCCGUCAUCGGAAUGGGUACAAUUUAAACCCUUUAACGAGGAUCUAUUGGAGGGCAAGUCUGGUGCCAGCAGCCGCGGUAAUUCCAGCUCCAAUAGCAUAUACCAAUUCUGUUGCUGUUAAAAA
rnacentral:rRNA from 1 species